UACGUAGGGGGCAAGCGUUGUCCGGAAUCAUUGGGCGUAAAGAGCGUGUAGGCGGCCCGAUAAGUCCGCUGUGAAAGUCAAGGGCUCAACCCUUGAAUGCCGGCGGAUACUGUCGGGCUAGAGUCCGGAAGAGGCGAGUGGAAUUCCUGGUGUAGCGGUGAAAUGCGCAGAUAUCAGGAGGAACACCUACGGCGAAGGCAGCUCGCUGGGACGGUACUGACGCUGAGACGCGAAAGCGUGGGGAGCAAACAGG
rnacentral:rRNA from 1 species